GUGGGGAAUAUUGCACAAUGGGGGAAACCCUGAUGCAGCAACGCCGCGUGAGUGAUGACGGCCUUCGGGUUGUAAAGCUCUGUCUUUGGGGACGAUAAUGACGGUACCCAAGGAGGAAGCCACGGCUAACUACGUGCCAGCAGCCGCGGUAAUACGUAGGUGGCAAGCGUUGUCCGGAUUUACUGGGCGUAAAGGGAGCGUAGGCGGAUUUUUAAGUGGGAUGUGAAAUACCCGGGCUCAACCUGGGUGCUGCAUUCCAAACUGGAAAUCUAGAGUGCAGGAGGGGAAAGUGGAAUUCCUAGUGUAGCGGUGAAAUGCGUAGAGAUUAGGAAGAACACCAGUGGCGAAGGCGACUUUCUGGACUGUAACUGACGCUGAGGCUCGAAAGCGUGGGGAGCAAACAGGAUUAGAAACCCCAGUAGUCC
rnacentral:rRNA from 1 species